rnacentral:lncRNA from 1 species
UGGGGAGCAAAACCCAGAACAUAUUUGCUUUCUUGAGGUAUUAGCAUUGAUUUUCAUGAUACAAUUUUCUCGAUAGGUUUUUUGAAAGUUUGAUGUUGACUCUUUAUUAUACUAGUAUUGAAUGGACUAUAAAACUGCAUACCCAAAAAUAUUAUAAAUGCUCUUAUUAAAGUCUUUGAAAUUUGUACGAAAAUUUUGUAAGUUGUCAUAAAUUUUGUAUACAGUUUUAAACUGUAAUUCAUAUGAUAUUUUUAAGAAGAUGAACUACAUUUUUAUAAAAAUCUAUCCAGAAAAUUGUAUCGUGAAAAAAAAUGCUAAUGUCUCAAAAAGGCAAACAUGCGUUCCUUUCUGCUCCCCAGUGUGCAUUUGAACAUUCACACAAACAUAUGUACUACAUAAUAACUAACUCGCUUUACUACUGAGCUCCGUUGUAAUUUUAAGAGUGCCAAAUUAAGUAGCAAGACACCAAGAAAUCACGUUUUAAUUCAUAAAGAAGGGUGUGAGUUUAACUAGCAAAAGGAAAACAUGAAUUGUGAACUAUUGUACUUGUCUAAAUGUCUGUUCAUGUUUUCGAAACCGAUUUUUCUGCAGACGACAGUAUUGAAGAUCUGGACUUUAAUACUACUGGAAGUAAACGAAAGAGUUCAUUAAGUGCGAAAUCAGGACCGGCCCUAAAAAAAAGUCCAUGUGAAUUCACAAAAAAUUAUUUUCAAAGAAGAAUUUUACACAGAAGUGGAAAAAAUUUCCGACAAGACAACUUGUGCUAAGUGCGUUGCAUGUCAUCGAGUGAUUAGAGGAAGCGGUGAAGUGACUUCAAAUUUCAUCAAACAUUUGCAAGUCAAGCAUAGUGAAUGUUUUAAAACAUACAAAAGUUAUAAAACAGGUAGCCCUUUUGGCGGUAACAUGCAAUCUGAGUUCGAUGGUAAACUGUUACAUGCAAUGAUUGAUUGUUCAUUGCCCCUUUCCAUUCUGGAAAAAAAAUCCUUUAUAGAUCUUUUUCAAAGUACAGGUAUGAAGGUGAUGUGUCAGAAUGUUUUCAAUGCAAAUUUUUCAAAACGAAAUGUAAAUAUAAAAUGAUGAGCUUUCAAAUUUUUUUAAAAAUAAUCGAAAAUAAUCAAAAAUAAUCCUUGAAAGUAGCCAAUUACUUUUUUGAUUACUUUUGAUUAUUUUUGAUUGUUUUCUCGUA